CAAACCCUCUAUCCAACAUUUGUUGAAUAGGAAUAAUGAGAGUCUCCUGAUCUGUAUUGAUCUCGAACCUCUUGAAAUGUACAAAGGCCUGAUCUUGUUUGAAUGCCUGAACUUUUUUUUAAUAUAAAGGAAAGCUCUUGUGAUUAACUAUGCUGGGGCCUCCCAAAUAACACUUUUUAA
rnacentral:misc_RNA from 1 species